rnacentral:rRNA from 1 species
GACGAACGCUGGCGGCGUGCUUAACACAUGCAAGUCGAACGAAGAGCGAUGGAAGCUUGCUUCUAUCACUCUUAGUGGCGAACGGGUGAGUAACGCGUAAUCAACCUGCCCUUCAGAGGGGGACAACAGUUGGAAACGACUGCUAAUACCGCAUACGAUCUAAUCUCGGCAUCGAGGAUAGAUGAAAGGUGGCCUCUACAUGUAAGCUAUCACUGAAGGAGGGGAUUGCGUCUGAUUAGCUAGUUGGGGGGGUAACGGCCCACCAAGGCGAUGAUCAGUAGCCGGUCUGAGAGGAUGAACGGCCACAUUGGGACUGAGACACGGCCCAGACUCCUACGGGAGGCAGCAGGGGGGAAUCUUCCGAAAGGGACGAAAGUCUGACGGAGCAACGCCGCGGGAGGGAUGACGGCCUUCGGGUUGUAAAGCUCUGUUAAUCGGGACGAAAGGCCUUCUUGCGAAUAGUGAGAAGGAUUGACGGUACCGGAAUAGAAAGCCACGGCUAACUACGUG